AUGGCCAACCAGCCUCACACUGGUCAACAUGGCCAGCCCCACACAGGUCAACAUGGCCAACCAGCCUCACACUGGUCAACAUGGCCAGCCCCACACAGGUCAACAUGGCCAGUCCCACACAGGUCAACAUGGCCAGUCCCACACAGGUCAACAUGGCCAGUCCCACACAGGUCAACAUGGCCAGUCCCACACAGGUCAACAUGGCCAGCCCCACACAGGUCAACAUGGCCAGCCCCACACAGGUCAACAUGGUCAGCCAACGCCACACAGCUCCCGACAACACAUGACAGAAAUGUUUCCAUGGAUAAUAUCCCUGAUGCUGGAUAGCCUUCACCUCUUUGAUAAAGGCCAGUUAUCUUCAAUGUUUAUUUUACAGAGUUUUCAAACAAAGACCAUGCUUUACAUACUG